CAGUAGCCGCGGGAAUACGAAGGGGGCUAGCGUUGCUCGGAAUGACUGGGCGUAAAGGGCGCGUAGGCGGUUUUGACAGUCAGAUGUGAAAUUCCUGGGCUUAACCUGGGGGCUGCAUUUGAGACGUCAAGACUAGAGUGUGAGAGAGGGUUGUGGAAUUCCCAGUGUAGAGGUGAAAUUCGUAGAUAUUGGGGAGAACACCGGUGGCGAAGGCGGCAACCUGGCUCACUACUGACGCUGAGGCGCGAAAGCGUGGGGAACAAACAGGAUUAGAUACCCGCGUAGUCCCUGUCUCUUAUAC
rnacentral:rRNA from 1 species